GGAGGCAGCAACAGCAGCGCCGAGCAUCCAUUCCUGCUCUGGGUGGGUAGCUCUUUCAACCCGAAAAUAGCCAGAAAUGGGAGGCUCUGUUCACUAGUGGUGAUGGUGCUGCUGCGAAAAACCGGAGAUGGCAGCAGAAGACAAGAAAAUACUUCCCCCUGAAUUUUAGGAAAGAAUGACCAAGCCUCCUCCCCCCUUCUUCUGCAGCACAGAGAAGCACCCCUCCAGCUUCUCUGGGGCCACAUUUGGGUUUCUCCCACCCAGUGAUUGUCUUCUCAACUACUUGGAUCUUUCCCCUGGAAGCAAUAGACCAUAUGCAAUCUUCU